rnacentral:lncRNA from 1 species
AAAUACUCCUAAUUUUCUAUUGGUUAAGAUAGUGAUGUGAGGAUCGCCAUUUUUAGCCAUUGAUUAAUUAUAAUCAACGGUUCAGAUUCAAUUUUUGUGUGUAUCUCUCUCUCUCCAAGAUUUCUUCUGUCGAUUCCUUUUUCUUCUUUUCUUCCAAUCUUCCUUCUCUCCAGAACUUUGUCUCUUCGACAAUCAAUUUUUCAUGUAUCAAAUCUUUAACAACUCUCACAUCCUUCUUCUCCAUUGCUUCCCUCUCAAUCAUCUUUCAACAACGACGACGCCAACGAGGAGCUUUGGUGUGACCAGCCCCUGAGUCAUUCGCAAACAGAAGUAGAAAAGCUCUGGUAUGGAAAGAUUUACGGUUUGAGCUUGACGGCGGAGGAGGCAGAGACGGACA